rnacentral:rRNA from 1 species
GAGUUUGAUCAUGGCUCAGAUUGAACGCUGGCGGCAUGCCUUACACAUGCAAGUCGAACGGCAGCAUGAUCUAGCUUGCUAGAUUGAUGGCGAGUGGCGAACGGGUGAGUAAUACAUCGGAACGUGCCCUGUAGUGGGGGAUAACUAGUCGAAAGAUUAGCUAAUACCGCAUACGACCUGAGGGKGAAAGUGGGGGACCGCAAGGCCUCAUGCUAUAGGAGCGGCCGAUGUCUGAUUAGCUAGUUGGUGGGGUAAAGGCCCACCAAGGCGACGAUCAGUAGCUGGUYUGAGAGGACGAUCAGCCACACUGGGACUGAGACACGGCCCAGACUCCUACGGGAGGCAGCAGUGGGGAAUUUUGGACAAUGGGCGAAAGCCUGAUCCAGCAAUGCCGCGUGUGUGAAGAAGGCCUUCGGGUUGUAAAGCACUUUUGUCCGGAAAGAAAUGGCUCUGGUUAAUACCUGGGGUCGAUGACGUACCGAGAUAAGUUKGAC